rnacentral:lncRNA from 1 species
AGGAAUAUAGUUUUAGUGACAGCAGCCAGCAGAGCUGCUCCUCUGUUCUGACUGCUGAAGAUGUGACAUACCUGCCCUAUUACAGUUCUUUCCUGCAACUACACCAAAGUGCAGAGCUGCCAGCUGAGCUGGGUGGAGAGCUGUGCUUGCAGGCUUCCUUUCCUCCAUGGAGAACUGGAUCUGGAGAAAAUUGGUUUGUGGGAGGUCAGUUUCAGUCUUUGGCACUGCAGAAUGCAGACAAUAAUGUCCAGCCUCUUGUCAGUUACUCUACAUGGGAAGAGGACUGCAGCUCCGAGAAGGAGGUGGAGACUUCCUGGCACCAAGUGGAGAAAUGCUGCCUGCAGAAGUACUUUAUCUUCUGGUCCACUCGAACUCAGCAACUCACAA